rnacentral:rRNA from 1 species
AUACGAAUGGAGCGAGCGUUGUUCGGAAUCAUUGGGCGUAAAGCGUAUGUAGGCGGACUUGAAAGUCAGAAGUGAAAUCCCGAGGCUCAACCUCGGAAUUGCUUUUGAAACUCCAAGUCUCGAGUCCCGGAGGGGUUGACGGAAUUCCUAGUGUAGAGGUGAAAUUCGCAGAUAUUAGGAGGAACACCAGUGGCGUAGGCGGUCAACUGGACGGGUACUGACGCUGAGAUACGAAAGCGUGGGGAGCAAACAGGAGUAGAAACCCGGGUAGUCC